AAUAAGUAGUUUUGUACUAUUUACGUUAAACGUUUAACCGUUCGUUUAAUUGAAAUUUUUUAUGAUUAGUAUUUUUAUUGCUAUUAGAUGAUAAAACAUGAAUAGUACUUUAUGUGUGACUAAAUAUUUUCAUAAAUUUUUUAAAUAAGACGAAUGGUCAAUCGUUGGGUACGGAUAUCCACGGCUGCACUUAUU
rfam:Oryza nivara chromosome 3, whole genome shotgun sequence.